AUUAAAACCUAGAUGCUAGGCAAAGAGUAGUGUAUGGCACAAAUUUGGCAGCAUAACAAUACUCUAUUCAAUCUUGCAAAUACAUGAGCCAAACACCUCAAUUUAUAGUGUUUAAAGGGUUGGAUUUUGAAGAGCCAAAUACAAAUGAAAUGUAAUCUAAAUGACAUGCAAAUGAAGGAGCACAUGGAGCACAUGACACAUGGGUGCACAUGGCCUCCUAACUUGCACAUGGACGUCCUAGAUUAGUGGAGAGCUUCUAGAAACCGUAGCUAAUAUAGGUUAACUCCUCCUUAAUCCUAAUUUGCAAAAUUUAAACAAAGGUUCAUAAGGCUAUGCUAUUUACACAACAAAUAAGACUAAGCUACACUUUGUUGGGCCUUCUUGGACGUCACCCUUCUUGGAUGUCAACUCUCUUAGACGCUCCUUGUGUGGCCUAGACGCUUCUUGUGUGGCCUAGACGCUUCUUGUGGGUGCCCUCUAUGCAAGGUUGGUGCUAGACAUUCUCUUGGUUGCCUUUCAUGCAAGGUUGGUCCUAGACGCUCUUUUGGGUGUUGGGGCCUCUUCCAUCAUCCCCUCCCUAUUGAAAAGGAUUUGUCCUCAAAUCCAUUGCUUUUUCUUUAACUAGGGGGAUGAAAAUGGCUGAAUGGUGUCCAUCAUCUCCUCCCUCUUGAGAAGAUCUAUCCUCAGAUCUACAGAUUUGAUCUCGGAUAGCAGCCUCUUGCCUCGUCAAGGCUUGUCCUCUUGGAUCAAACGUCCAUCUAUGGGAAUCUUGAAACAAAGCAAAGGAGUUAAUGUGAGCAAUUGGAGAAAACACAAUUGUAUGAAG
rnacentral:lncRNA from 1 species